UACGUAGGGUGCAAGCGUUGUCCGGAAUUAUUGGGCGUAAAGAGCUCGUAGGCGGUCUGUCGCGUCUGGUGUGAAAAUCCAGGGCUUAACCCUGGACCUGCAUCGGGUACGGGCAGACUAGAGUGCGGUAGGGGAGAUCGGAAUUCCUGGUGUAGCGGUGAAAUGCGCAGAUAUCAGGAGGAACACCGGUGGCGAAGGCGGAUCUCUGGGCCGUAACUGACGCUGAGGAGCGAAAGCAUGGGGAGCAAACGGG
rnacentral:rRNA from 1 species